AUUGAACGCUGGCGGCAUGCCUUACACAUGCAAGUCGAACGGUAACAGGUCUUCGGAUGCUGACGAGUGGCGAACGGGUGAGUAAUACAUCGGAACGUGCCUAGUAGUGGGGGAUAACUACUCGAAAGAGUGGCUAAUACCGCAUGAGAUCUACGGAUGAAAGCAGGGGAUCGCAAGACCUUGUGCUACUAGAGCGGCCGAUGGCAGAUUAGGUAGUUGGUGGGAUAAAAGCUUACCAAGCAGACGAUCUGUAGCUGGUCUGAGAGGACGAUCAGCCACACUGGGACUGGGACACGGCGCAGACUCCUGCGGGAGGCAGCAGUGGGGAAUUUUGGACAAUGGGCGCAAGCCUGAUCCAGCAAUGCCGCGUGCAGGAUGAAGGCCUUCGGGUUGUAAACUGCUUUUGUACGGAACGAAAAGCCCCGGGUUAAUACCCUGGGGUCAUGACGGUACCGUAAGAAUAAGCACCGGCUAACUACGUGCCAGCCGCCGCGGUAA
rnacentral:rRNA from 1 species